rnacentral:rRNA from 1 species
GNCCUCAGAUCGGACGAGAUUACCCGCUGAAUUUAAGCAUAUAACUAAGCGGAGGAAAAGAAACUAACAACGAUUUCCCUAGUAACGGCGAGUGAAGCGGAAAGAGCCCAGCACCGAAUCCCCCAGUGUAAUGCUGGCGGGAACUGUGGUGUGUGGGACGCCACCAGUCGCGCGUGCGAGCACCGAAGUCCUCCUGAUCGAGGCUUCACCCAGAGCGGGUGUAAGGCCUUUGCUGGUGCUUGCUGCGCGGCCGCGAGCGUCUCAGGAGUCGGGUUGUUUGAGAAUGCAGCCCAAA